rnacentral:rRNA from 1 species
CCMGCUCCAAUAGCGUAUAUUAAAGUUGUUGCAGUUAAAAAGCUCGUAGUUGAACCUUGGGCAAGGCGCGCACGGUCCACCGCAAGGCGCGACUGUGGCGCUGCGCCUCUUUCUGGGGGACUCGGUGCCUCGGUGCCGAGGGAACCCGUGUUACUGUGAAGAAAUUAGAGUGUUUAAAGCAGGCUAUCGCUUGAAUACAUCAGCAUGGAAUAACAAGUUGGACUCGGGUUCUACUUGUUGGUUUGGGGGCCAGAGUAAUGAUUAAUAGGGCCAGUUGGGGGCAUUAGUAUUCAGUAGUCAGAGGUGAAAUUCUUGGAUUUACUGAAGACUAACUAGUGCGAAAGCAUUUGCCAAGGAUGUUUUCAUUAAUCAAGAACGAAAGUUAGGGGAUCGAAGACGAUCAGAUACCGUCGUAGUCUUAACUAUAAACGAUGCCGACUAAGGAUCAGCAGACGUCGAUUUCGACUCUGUUGGCACUUUGUGAGAAAUCAAAGUUUUUGGGUUCUGGGGGGAGUAUGGUCGCAAGGCUGAAACUUAAAGGAAUUGACGGAAGGGCACCACCAGGAGUGGAGCCUGCGGCUUAAUUCGACUCAAC